AAAAAGUCAGAUGGAUCUGCGGAAACUGCUUAGAAAAGUCGAUGUAGAGAGGAGCCCAGGUGGAACCCCUCUUACCAAUAAGGAAAAUAUGGAAACAGGAACAGGACUGACUCCAGUGAUGACGCAGGCCUUAAGGAGAAAGUUUCAGGUAACCCUUUAGGAAAAGAAUAUUGGUUCCUUUGCUUGAAAAUAAUUUGGCCUGGUGUGGUGGCUCAUGACUGUAAUCCUAACA
rnacentral:lncRNA from 1 species